UGAGUGAAGAAGGCUUUCGGGUCGUAAAACUCUGUUGUUGGAGAAGAAUGGUCGGCAGAGUAACUGUUGUCGGCGUGACGGUAUCCAACCAGAAAGCCACGGCUAACUACGUGCCAGCAGCCGCGGUAAUACGUAGGUGGCAAGCGUUAUCCGGAUUUAUUGGGCGUAAAGCGAGCGCAGGCGGUUUUUUAAGUCUGAUGUGAAAGCCCUCGGCUUAACCGAGGAAGUGCAUCGGAAACUGGGAAACUUGGGUGCAGAAGAGGACAGUGGAACUCCAUGUGUAGCGGUGAAAUGCGUAGAUAUAUGGAAGAACACCAGUGGCGAAGGCGGCUGUCUGGUCUGUAACUGACGCUGAGGCUCGAAAGCAUGGGUAGCGAACAGGAUUAGAUACCCUGGUAGUCCAUGCCGUAAACGAUGAAUGCUAGGUGUUGGAGGGUUUCCGCCCUUCAGUGCCGCAGCUAACGCAUUAAGCAUUCCGCCUGGGGAGUACGACCGCAAGGUUGAAACUCAAAGGAAUUGACGGGGGCCCGCACAAGCGGUGGAGCAUGUGGUUUAAUUCGAAGCAACGCGAAGAACCUUACCAGGUCUUGACAUCUUUUGAUCACCUGAGAGAUCAGGUUUCCCCUUCGGG
rnacentral:rRNA from 2 species